rnacentral:rRNA from 1 species
GACGAACGCUGGCGGCGUGCUUAACACAUGCAAGUCGAACGGAAAGGCCCUGCUUUUGUGGGGUGCUCGAGUGGCGAACGGGUGAGUAACACGUGAGUAACCUGCCCUUGACUUUGGGAUAACUUCAGGAAACUGGGGCUAAUACCGGAUAGGAGCUCCUGCUGCAUGGUGGGGGUUGGAAAGUUUCGGCGGUUGGGGAUGGACUCGCGGCUUAUCAGCUUGUUGGUGGGGUAGUGGCUUACCAAGGCUUUGACGGGUAGCCGGCCUGAGAGGGUGACCGGCCACAUUGGGACUGAGAUACGGCCCAGACUCCUACGGGAGGCAGCAGUGGGGAAUAUUGCACAAUGGGCGGAAGCCUGAUGCAGAAACGCCGCGUGCGGGAUGACGGCCUUCGGGUUGUAAAACGCUUUCGCCUGUGACGAAGCGUGAGUGACGGUAAUGGGUAAAGAAGCACCGGCUAACUACGUG